CGCAGCAGACAAAUGAUGGGAAAGGGGAGGAAAAACUUAAGUGCCCCCCCUCUUCUUCAUUCUUCUAACCGACCAUCCUCAUUCCACCAUUGAAGUUGGUGGAUGAUGGCACACAGAGGAACCAUCCUAUCUCCCCACUUUGGUCCUCGUAUAGAGACCGAGUUUUAGCCUUGAGAGAUCGAUCCCGAGCUUCGAUUUUGGCGAAGAGGAAACCGUCCCCGAUGGCUCAUUCACGAAAGUAGAGUACGGGUGUGCGCUGGCCCUUGGCGUGAGGCGUACGGGGCUGUGUUGGCGUGGUUGCUGGAGACUGGAGCGUACGGAGGCGCUGAGGGGGGGCUCGGUUACGGCGCAAAGCGAGGGAGAGCCCUAAGGUUUCUGGAACAUUGACAAUUUGGGCUUUUCGGGCCUAUUCUAGUAGUUGGGCCAUAAUUUUUGUAAUUGGACCGUAAGGCAUUAGUUUGGGCAUUGAGGUUAAUUUGGUUUUGGGUCUAAAAAUUGGGUUUGGGUUUGUAAUGUUUCGGGCUAAAGUCUGUAAAUAGACAUUUAAUGGACUAUAUGUUAUUGGGUUUUUAUUA